rnacentral:piRNA from 1 species
UACCUGUAUACUAUGAUGACCUACUGCA